UGAUUUGACUGAAAGAGAGAUUAACACAGACAUAAAAGAGGGAUUUCUAUUUAUCAGAGACACAACUAGAUUUGACCACUGCUACGCAGCUUCUUAAACACCCUAUCCUUCUGUGACGUCAUCUGCCAUCUUGCUUUCCAAUAUUUGUGCAGGACAAGAGGUCAAGGUAGUCACACUCAGUCAGUGUGGGACUCCGCGCUAUACUGUAUACCAUUGUGAAUACCUUGACCUUAAUAACCCUUGAACAAAUAUUGGAUUUUGCAAACUGAAAUUACAGUGAUACAGUGACUGAAAUUUCCAUAAAAGGUUGUGUACUGGGAUGAUAAAGACUGGAAGAAUGACUGGGAGUUUCAGUUAACAGAGAGAGAUCAGAGUUGAAGAUUAUUUACUACAUUUUGAGAAAAAGACUAUAGAAGGUAUGAAGUGAGAGUUAUCUUUCAUUAUAGGAAUUACCCCUUCAAUAAUGAGAUU